GUCAGCACGAGUCAUCUGGUUCCAGUGACAAUGAAGACUGAGGUGUGUGCUUUGCACUUUUUUCUUUUCUUUUCUUGUCUUUUUUUUUUUUCCUAUUCAUGUGGACAUCUCUGAGAAUGAGGGGACUGGGUGACUUUGCAGUGUCUGCUUUCUAAGUUUCAAAGUGGCUUUCCAGGCAAGCUGCGCAUAUCUUGGGAUCUUCACAGCACAGUGGCUGGGAAGGCAGGCGAACCCGUCUAUCAGCUUCUCCCUGGUGGGAUUCUUGCGGGGGCAGGGAUUGAGUCAAACCUUGGAAAUGACGUCAUUCUGAACUCAUCUGCCUUUAUCCAGAAGACUACCAAAGCAAACCAGAGGACCAGAGAACAGCAGCUGCUCUGGACAAAGAGGGGAGGACACCCACACCCACACACCAAGUUCUGGUUGACUUCUACAGCAGAAGGAGCAGGAGACACCAGAAGUUUCCUCAGAAGGAUAUUGACCAGCACGCCUGCCUCCUUUCUGUUCUGACACACUUGUUACCUCGAUGACUUCUUUCUCAUCACCCACGUGCCAGGAGUGCCAUGUCUCAUAUCUGGACCAGAGACUCUGAGGAUCACACCAACAGAGACACAAACGCCACUUAAAGAAAGCCACAUCAGCUUUUAGAACUUAUCCCCCAAUACCGAAUGCCAUCAACUCCAUGGUAUCUAAACCAUUGGAUGGUUCUGUUCUCAGGGCCAGAGGGUUUCACUAGACUUCGUCGAACCCUUCGGGAUAACUGUCGACUGUGCAGACAGUGCUCGGUGUCUGGAUUCUCAGCCUUCAGUGUAAUCAUGUUUGCAUCCCCAGGUGUCAGAAAAUUCCCCCUGA
ensembl:processed_transcript